rnacentral:rRNA from 1 species
GACGAACGCUGGCGGCGUGCCUAAUACAUGCAAGUUGAGCGCUGAAGGUUGGUACUUGUACCAACUGGAUGAGCAGCGAACGGGUGAGUAACGCGUGGGGAAUCUGCCUUUGAGCGGGGGACAGCAUUUGGAAACGAAUGCUAAUACCGCAUAAGAACUUUAAACACAAGUUUUAAGUUUGAAAGAUGCAAUUGCAUCACUCAAAGAUGAUCCCGCGUUGUAUUAGCUAGUUGGUGAGGUAAAGGCUCACCAAGGCGAUGAUACAUAGCCGACCUGAGAGGGUGAUCGGCCACAUUGGGACUGAGACACGGCCCAAACUCCUACGGGAGGCAGCAGUAGGGAAUCUUCGGCAAUGGACGAAAGUCUGACCGAGCAACGCCGCGUGAGUGAAGAAGGUUUUCGGAUCGUAAAACUCUGUUGGUAGAGAAGAACGUUGGUGAGAGUGGAAAGCUCAUCAAGUGACGGUAACUACCCAGAAAGGGACGGCUAACUACGUG